rnacentral:lncRNA from 1 species
GCGAAACCAAGCGGAUAUAAUAUGACACGAAGAAAACAGACCACGGAGAAUCAUUUUAUCUGCAAAACAAAAUCUGACCAUGUUUAGGCUAGCAGAGAACGCUUAGCUGCGUGUGAUGGCCGCCACUGUGUCCCCUUUGCGUUGUCACGCACGUCCGUGCACGUGCGUCAAAACCAUGAGCAAUGGAGCGCCACUUGCCCCCGAGGAUCUGGGAGCUCUGGACACGGUUCAGACGGUGGAGCCGCGGAGGCAGACAGCGGUGGCAGCCGGAGGGGGAAGUUGCUGUGCACGGUCGUCCACCUAGGCGUUGGAGGACUCGCUUUGAGCGAGCCACUUCCCACGUUCUGGAAGUUGGCCCCCCCACCUCUGGCAUUGAGGUACCCCGCUUUGACCUGCCUUCUUACACACAACUUCCUCUUUACACUGAUCUCUUUCCUCCUCAUUCUCCUCCACGCUUUCCUGUUCCUUCUGCUAUUCCUUCCACACCUCCUCCUCCCUAUUCUCCUCCACGCUCUCCUGUUCCUUCUUCUGUUCCUUCCACACCCCCUCCUCCCUAUUCUCCUGUUCCCUCUUGCUCUUUUGCUGCUCCUCAUUCUCCUCCACGCUCUCCCUUUCCUUCUUCUGUUCCUUCCACACCCCCUCCUCCCUAUUCUCCUGUUCCUUCUUGCUCUUUUGCUGCUCCUCAUUCUCCUCCACGCUCUCCUGUUCGUCCUUCUUCUGUUCCUUCCACGCCCCCUCCUCCUUAUUCUCCUGUUCCUUCUUGCUCUACGGCUCCUCCUCUUUCUCCUCCAUGCUCUUUUGCUCCUUCUUCUUCUAUUCCACCUUCACCCCCUGCUCCUUCCCCUCUGGUUCCACUUAUUGUGGCUCCUUCUGAGCUGCCCUGUGUUCCCGAUGCUGGCCUUUCCCUGUCUCCUGUUAUUCAGGACUCAGGCUCCACAGUGGAAGGGACCAGCGAGGACUUAGCGGUUGGGGAAACCAACGAGGCUCCUAGCAGCAGCAGCAGCAGCAGCAGCAGCAGCAGCACACCUGGUAGAGGUAGGGAGGACAGUGAUGAGGAGGGGGCUGCUCCCAAAAGACCAUGUUUUACUGUGAGACACUGUGUCACACAGUAA